GGGAAUGUGGCUCAGUGGUAGAGUUCUUUCCUGGGAUGUGUGAGGCUCUGGGUUCAAUCCCAGCAUAACCA
rnacentral:tRNA from 1 species